GGGGAUUUAGCUCAGCGGCAUAAGCACCUGCCUUAUAAGCAGGUGGUCGUGAGUUCGAUCCCUG
rnacentral:tRNA from 1 species